GAGAAAGGAAGAAAGAAAAAGGAGAGAAAAACAGAAAUGAGAGGGAGGGAGGGGGACAGGGAGAGAAAGAGAAAGAGAGCCAUUUCCCACAGAAAACACCAGGAGCAACAAAACCCUCGGUAGACAUGGCUGGGGAGGUCAUGUGACUGGGUGGAAGUAGUGUUGAGUUGGCCAUGCCCACCCAACCAUGCUCACCCAGGCAGUUAUUAGGGCAGAGAGCCCCUUGCUAAAAAAAUUGAAGCCCACUCCUGCCUAAAAUUCAUAGAAGAGGGGACCCAGACAAGGAAGUUAGCAGGUUCUUCAAGCACUUUUAAUCCAGUUGAUAUUGCUGAUUCACUGAAAUCCUUAGGAGAUAAGUACAACGCAGAAAUUGAAAGCCACGUACAGGCAGUUAUUGCAGAGGAAAGCGUAAGAAAGAUAGAGAAAUUUGGAGAAGUAGCAGAAUCUCUCAGCAGGAUUUGGAUCAGUCAAAAUCCUGGGCUAGAGCCUGAAAAAGUUUUUCUAGCUGCUGCUGUGAAAUUGUUUGUGAAAUUUAUGAAGAAAACUCAUGGAGAUGAGGGCCAGAUAAACAUACUCACAGAAACAAUCAAUGGAAAUCCUGAAGUGAGAGGCUAUAUUGAAAGACAGGGUGGUUGGGGUAAUCUUGGAAGAAGUCUAAACAGCCCAUAGUUUCUUGCUUCCAAUGUAAAAGACUCAUCUGCUAUUUUGGAGGAAAUAGAGCUGGAGAGUUGCUUCAAAUCUGAAAUGGAACUGCAAAUGAAUUGAAAAGGCAAUUCUGUGAAGAAACAAAAUAAAUUUAAUAAAUUUAAAAAGAAAC
rnacentral:lncRNA from 1 species